GGUGAAGUUUUUGGAUCGCGGCGACGCCGGCGGAUCGCCGCCGUUGUUGUUGUGAGAAGUUCAUUAAACCUUAUCAUUUAGAGGAAGGAGAAGUCGUAACAAGGUUUCCGUAGGUGAACCUGCGGAAGGAUCAUUGAACACACGAUCUAUGAAAAACUCUGCGAAUCGUUUUGUACAACGAGGGAUCGUGCCCGGAGGCACGAUCGUCGAUGCUCGAGUCGGGUUUCAUGUGCGUCCGCCGUGACCCUCCCGUUCGGUGCGUGGCGGGAUUAAAUGACCCGGGUUUCAUCGUAGGACCGCCCCAGACACGCGUGGUUUCGAGUGCAUUCGUACUUGGAGUCGGAAGUGCGUCCCCUCCUCCAUCGGAGGGGGAGUCUCGGCGCAACCGACCUGCCUGCCAGGUCGAGUUCCCGUCGGAGUACUCUCCCUCCCUUGGUGCCCAUUUUUUCUCAAAGAAACUUGAUAAAACAAAGGAUGAUGUGAUUGAGGGGGGCUCGAGAUUGCCACGGCGGUCUCCUGCUCCCACCAAAGCGAAAACACUAAUGACUCUCAGCAACGGAUAUCUUGGCUCUUGCAACGAUGAAGAACGCAGCGAAAUGCGAUACCUAGUGUGAAUUGCAGAAUUCCGCGAAUCAUCGAGUUUUUGAACGCAAGUUGCGCCCGAGGCUCGUCUGAGGGCAUGCCUGCCUGAGCGUCCGCUCCGACCCACCCACGAGUCCCUCCUGUCCAAAAAGAUGCGGAGGGGACAAUAUCGUGCGAGUGGAAUUGGUCGUCCGAGGACUCGCUCGUCUCCGUGUGGGACGAUCGGAGUAUCGCCGGUCGGCUGAAAAAUGGGAGCCGUCCGUCGAAACGCGCGCUGGGGCCACGGUGCGUCGCGAGAAGGUGCCGUCCUCUCAUUGUCCUUCGGGACUUGAGACGUUGGUUUUAGAGCGUCGCGCCUCCCCGGCGGAGUCGAGAUUCGGCGGUUCGGUGAAAGGUUUGACAUGGGGAGCGGGAGAGGCUCUGGCACUUCCCCUGCGCCUCUCUCUCGGAAGAGGACAGGCGUGGGGGAUGUCGAGUCCGAACGCAACGUUGCUCGGACCUCAGAUCAGGCAAGACCACCCGCUGAGUUUAAGCAUAUCACUAAGCGGAGGAAAAGAAACUAACAAGGAUUUC
rnacentral:rRNA from 1 species